GACGAACGCUGGCGGCGUGCCUAAUACAUGCAAGUAGAACGCUGAAGGAGGAGCUUGCUUCUCCGGAUGAGUUGCGAACGGGUGAGUAACGCGUAGGUAACCUGCCUGGUAGCGGGGGAUAACUAUUGGAAACGAUAGCUAAUACCGCAUAAGAGUAGAUGUCGCAUGACAUUUGCUUAAAAGGUGCAACUGCACCACUACCAGAUGGACCUGCGUUGCAUUAGCUAGUUGGUGAGGUAACGGCUCACCAAGGCAACGAUACAUAGCCGACCUGAGAGGGUGAUCGGCCACACUGGGACUGAGACACGGCCCAGACUCCUACGGGAGGCAGCAGUAGGGAAUCUUCGGCAAUGGACGGAAGUCUGACCGAGCAACGCCGCGUGAGUGAAGAAGGUUUUCGGAUCGUAAAGCUCUGUUGUAAGAGAAGAACGAGUGUGAGAGUGGAAAGUUCACACUGUGACGGUAUCUUACCAGAAAGGGACGGCUAACUACGUG
rnacentral:rRNA from 1 species